CCAAUAGCGUAUAUUAAAGUUGUUGCAGUUAAAAAGCUCGUAGUUGAAUUUCGGGAUCAGUACGCUGGUCGUGCCUCCGGUACGUACUGGUGUCACUGGUUCCUCCCUUCUGAAGAACCAUCAUGCUAUUAAUUUAGUGUGGUGGGAAAUCAGGACUGUUACUUUGAAAAAAUUAGAGUGUUUAAAGCAGGCUCACGCUUGAAUACAUUAGCAUGGAAUAAUGAAAUAGGACGUUGAUCCUAUUUUGUUGGUUUCUAGGAUUGACGUAAUGAUUAAUAGGGAUAGUUGGGGGCAUUAGUAUUCAAUUGUCAGAGGUGAAAUUCUUGGAUUUAUUGAAGACUAACUACUGCGAAAGCAUUUGCCAAGGAUGUUUUCAUUAAUCAAGGACGAAAGUUAGGGGAUCGAAGACGAUCAGAUACCGUCGUAGUCUUAACCAUAAACUAUGCCGACUAGGGAUCGGAUGAUGUUAAUUUUUUAAUGACUCAUUCGGCGCCUUACG
rnacentral:rRNA from 1 species